ACACAUGCAAGUCGAGGGGCAGCACAAAGAUAGUUUACUAUUUUGGUGGCGACCGGCGCACGGGUGAGUAACGCGUAUGCAACCUACCUUAUACAGGAGUAUAGCCCGAAGAAAUUCGGAUUAAUCCUCCAUAGUAUUUUCUAAUGGCAUCAUUUGGAAAAUUAAAGCUUCGGCGGUAUAAGAUGGGCAUGCGUCCUAUUAGCUAGAUGGUAAGGUAACGGCUUACCAUGGCAACGAUAGGUAGGGGGCCUGAGAGGGUGAUCCCCCACACUGGUACUGAGACACGGACCAGACUCCUACGGGAGGCAGCAGUGAGGAAUAUUGGGCAAUGGAGGCAACUCUGACCCAGCCAUGCCGCGUGCAGGAAGAAUGCCCUAUGGGUUGUAAACUGCUUUUAUUUAGGAAUAAACCCUUCUACGUGUAGAAGGCUGAAUGUACUAAACGAAUAA
rnacentral:rRNA from 1 species